UUCACCGUACUUUUCAAUUAGUGGAAAACUGAAUCACUUUCACUUGAAGCCACAUGCAAUGCAGCCUGGUAACUUUGGGUAAGAGUUUGAAGUGGAGUCCUUGAAUCCAAGGAUGAAUAACAUGAAUAACACCAUUCCAGCUCUUAUAUUGCUGAAGGUACAUUUUGAAAGGCAUAUGUGCACUCUGAAACAAAACAUUUCCUUGGGGACAAGACAGACAAAAAAAUUUGACACAAAGGAAAAGACAUUGCUUGGAAAUGAUGUUCAGUUUCUGUGGUGGAAAGCUGCAUGUCCAUUUAAAGGCUUAUAUAAAAGGUGUUAAUUCCCUGAGGUACUUCUGAAAGUCCUGUAACUGGAAAAAGCCGAUGGUCUGUGGAUGAAAAGACAAUCAUAGUAUUGAUACUGUGUGGCUUAAUACUUAAUGGAUUUAAAGUUACUACCAAGGAACCCAUGGCAACUAGCAGAAGAACCUCAGCAAGAAGAGAGAUGUAAGAAGAUUUUUUUUUUCAUCAGUUGACUUCUCACUUCAAUUAUGGCUCACCACACCAGAAGUGUUGGAAGCACCUGCUACCAUUGACCCCAGCACCUCACAGAAAGAAGGGCCAGUGCUUUUCAGCUGGCUGGAGACAAGAGAAGUCCCUUGCUUAUAAACUAGUGCCCCCAGCAAGCAAGUUAACAGAGAAACCCCCACAUAUGACCUGGUGUCACUUUGGAAAUAGAAGCUGUUUGUCCCCAGUGCUCUGGUGAGAAAUGGCUGCGAGUGACUGCAAACUCUCCCUGCUGCACACACCAGCCCAUGGUGUCCCAGCUCCAAAGUCACUGAGGUCAUGUUGUGCACAGCCCUUGUGCACCACCAACACUGUCCUGUGCUCUGCCCUGGCCUUACAUUAUCCUUAUACCGGUAAAAUACUCACAUAUGGCCCAGGCUGCUGGGAGUCCAGCACUUUACUGAUUAUUGUCUUGGGAUGAGAGUUUGGAACAGGAGUCUCAGAUGCCUUCAGAAUUGUUAGUUUCUCAAGAACUGAGGGAAAAUGUUUCAAUAAAGUGUUGCAGCAUGAGCUGUGUUUU